CAUGAACACACGCUUAGUUUCCGGCAUACAUAUUCCGGAAAGCGGGGGAACCAGUUUCACCAGGGGCGAGUCACUUGGAAUUCACGAGUGUAGGGUACCAUCUUACCCGAGUCCGUCAGCUAACCUCGUCAGCAGUGGAUGGGUCUU
rnacentral:sRNA from 2 species